GCUUAACGUUGCGCGUGCAGUGGGUACGGGCUGACUAGAGUGCAGUAGGGGAGUCUGGAAUUCCUGGUGUAGCGGUGAAAUGCGCAGAUAUCAGGAGGAACACCGGUGGCGAAGGCGGGACUCUGGGCUGUAACUGACACUGAGGAGCGAAAGCAUGGGGAGCGAACAGGAUUAGAUACCCUGGUAGUCCAUGCCGUAAACGUUGGGCACUAGGUGUGGGGGACAUUCCACGUUCUCCGCGCCGUAGCUAACGCAUUAAGUGCCCCGCCUGGGGAGUACGGUCGCAAGGCUAAAACUCAAAGGAAUUGACGGGGGCCCGCACAAGCGGCGGAGCAUGCGGAUUAACUCGAUGCAACGCGAAGAACCUUACCAAGGCUUGACAUACACUGGACCGUUCUGGAAACAGUUCUUCUCUUUGGAGCUGGUGUACAGGUGGUGCAUGGUUGUCGUCAGCUCGUGUCGUGAGAUGUUGGGUUAAGUCCCGCAACGAGCGCAACCCUCGUUCUAUGUUGCCAGCACGUGAUGGUGGGAACUCAUAGGAGACUGCCGGGGUCAACUCGGAGGAAGGUGGGGAUGACGUCAAAUCAUCAUGCCCUUUAUGUCUUGGGCUUCACGCAUGCUACAAUGGCUGGUACAGAG
rnacentral:rRNA from 1 species